rnacentral:lncRNA from 1 species
UCUAGGCCUGCGCGUCAUAGAAGGGGCCCAUUGCAGCCGUAUUAGGGGGAGCCUGGACAGCCUCCUCUGGCAGAGAGCUAGGAACAGCCUGGUUACAUUCUGAAGAUUUUAACUAGAAAAGUAGCAACAAAUGAAGUCAUCGGACACGUUAGGUGAAUAUAUCCUCCUACAGAAAAGCAAACCAAACUCAGCCAGGGUUCCUGAGGGUCAGCACUGUGGGGGAGGGAGGGCAUCGGGGGCUUCGCUGUUUGUCGAGACCCUCUUCCAGGAAAGUCACUGUUUAUGAGGCCUCAGCAAGAAUCUCAGACUUUUCAAAGGCCAUCUCUCAUUUUGGGUCCUGUGUUCUCAGUUUCACCACCUGAUAAUCCCUUUGCAUGGUCAGAGGAAAUCAGUCACUUUCUACAGCUCCCAGUGUUUCUGUUUUAGUCUCGCUAGCCAUGCAGCCAAAGUGAGUUUCAUCAACAUUUGUUGGGAGAAAAAAAAAAUCUCUAAAUUCCAUUAAAGAGUUUGAAUGUGGAAGGCGGACAGUUCAGUGCUAGGUUAUAAUAUUGUUUCAAAUUGACUUUGGCAAAUAUUUGGCAUACCUCUCCAUGAUAUUAUAGUGAUAGGUUUAUAGGUUUAUAGGUUUUAGAAUCUAAGAAUUUACCUCUUGGCUAUCUUACUGGAAUAUCUGGGAUGCAUUAUAGAUCUCUUGAUGAAGGAUGUGAAGGAAGUACAAACUGCCUUUUCUUCACCCAUUUUCAAUACGCAAAGACAGUUCAGCAUCUAAUUCCCUGGCCUUUGUUCCACCUUUCCAGUAGUUGACGUCCUGCCCUGUCUUACAGACCAGUCUAAUACACGCUCUGUUUGAGUGCAGUUACUGUAAACAGCGCAUCUCCUUGAUUGACCAUCAACAUCCGGUGGGCUCUUCUCAGCUUGUGUCUCAUGAUUUUAAAGAAAGGAAACCAGGUGGCCAGUGAGUGUAUUGCUGAGUUUAGCAGUCAAGAGUUUCCCACUUCAUAGCUCUAUCUGUAACUUCCAACACACUCUCCAAGCCCUCUCGUUUGUCUUAGAAAUAAAGGCAGUGCAUGUAGAAUGCCCAGGACGAUGCUUGGGAGCAUGGCCGCAGUCAACAUCACUGUCGCAAAUGCGAGGUAGGCUGUUAAUAAAGUUGAGAAAUCUUCCUGGACGCCAUGCAUGUUUCUUCU